rnacentral:rRNA from 1 species
GACGAACGCUGGCGGCGUGCUUAACACAUGCAAGUCGAACGGAAAGGCCCUGCUUUUGCGGGGUGCUCGAGUGGCGAACGGGUGAGUAACACGUGUGUAACCUGCCCCUGACUUUGGGAUAACUUCAGGAAACUGGGGCUAAUACCGGAUAGGAGCUCCUGCUGCAUGGUGGGGGUUGGAAAGUUUCGGCGGUUGGGGAUGGACUCGCGGCUUAUCAGCUUGUUGGUGGGGUAGUGGCUUACCAAGGCUUUGACGGGUAGCCGGCCUGAGAGGGUGACCGGCCACAUUGGGACUGAGAUACGGCCCAGACUCCUACGGGAGGCAGCAGUGGGGAAGAUUGCACUAUGGGCGGAAGCCUGAUGCAGCAACGCCGCGUGCGGGAUGACGGCCUUCGGGUUGUAAACCGCUGUCGCCUGUGACGAAGCGUGAAUGACGGUAAUGGGUAAAGAAGCACCGGCUAACUACGUG